AACAAACGCUGGCGGCGUGCCUAACACAUGCAAGUCGAACGAGAAAGUCGGUUUCGGCCGAUGAGUAAAGUGGCGCACGGGUGAGUAACGCGUGGAUAAUCUACCCUUUAGUCCGGAAUAACUUGCCGAAAGGUGAACUAAUACCGGAUGACAUCCCGGGUUCUCCGGAAACCGGGAUCAAAGAAGGCCUCUGCUUGCAAGCUUUUGCUGAAGGAUGAGUCCGCGUACCAUUAGCUAGUUGGUGGGGUAAUGGCCUACCAAGGUUAUGAUGGUUAGCUGGUCUGAGAGGAUGAUCAGCCACACUGGAACUGAAACACGGUCCAGACUCCUACGGGAGGCAGCAGUGAGGAAUAUUGCGCAAUGGGGGCAACCCUGACGCAGCAACGCCGCGUGAGUGAGGAAGGUUUUCGGAUUGUAAAGCUCUGUCGAGCGGAAAGAAAUGCACGAUGGCUAAUAUCCAUCAUGCUUGACGGUACCGCUAGAGGAAGCACCGGCUAACUCCG
rnacentral:rRNA from 1 species